GACGAACGCUGGCGGCGUGCUUAACACAUGCAAGUCGAACGGUGAAGCACCUUCCUUUUGGUGGAUGUGGAUGAGUGGCGAACGGGUGAGUAACACGUGAGUAACCUGCCCCCUUCUUCUGGAUAACCGCAUGAAAGUGUGGCUAAUACGGGAUAUUCUGGGUCUGUCGCAUGGCGGGCCUGGGAAAGAUAUUGUUUCGGUGGGGGAUGGGCUCGCGGUCUAUCAGCUUGUUGGUGGGGUGAUGGCCUACCAAGGCGGUGACGGGUAGCCGGCCUGAGAGGGUGGACGGUCACACUGGGACUGAGACACGGCCCAGACUCCUACGGGAGGCAGCAGUGGGGAAUAUUGCACAAUGGGCGCAAGCCUGAUGCAGCGACGCCGCGUGAGGGAUGGAGGCCUUCGGGUUGUAAACCUCUUUCGCCAGUGAAGCAGGCCUGUCCCUUUUGUGGGUGGGUUGACGGUAGCUGGAUAAGAAGCGCCGGCUAACUACGUG
rnacentral:rRNA from 1 species